rnacentral:tRNA from 1 species
GGGGCCAUAGCUCAGCUGGGAGAGCGUCGCGUUCGCAAUGCGAAGGUCGGGAGUUCGAUCCUCCCUGGCUCCACCA